CAAGACUUAAAAUUACUUUUUUUUCCCCCCUAACCCAGGAUUCUUCAACAAUCUUUCAGCUUGGUACUCUCUUAAGACAGAAAACGAUGAAUUAUUUUGCAUCAAAGGCAAAGCUGCGCUGGAUGUCCGAAGGUAUAGGUACUCCUAUGUACUCAGAACUGAGCUGAAAUCCGAACAGAAGCCAAGACUCCUUCCAUCCCAGAACAUCUCCCACAGUUUCCUACCUUCCUUGGUCAAAGCCAGCAGACUGGUGUCUUUCUCCACUUUGACUAGGAAGUGGGUCAAAGGUGGUGUGGGGGCUUCAGUGGUCUAGAUAACUCACAAACAAAGCAUACUUCUUACUAUUGAGAAGGACUCCAGGGAGAUAUCUGGGACAUCAUUUGCAACCAGCCAGGGAUCCUAUUGCCUUCAGACUCCCCACAGUGCUAACAAGACCUGCAGAAUUGGGGAGGAAAUCCCCAUUAAGAUUAUUUAAGUCUAUUUAUAUUAUAAUAAAAUAAAUGUAAAUAAGACUUAAAUGAAGGCAGGUUCAGAUCUUUCUGACACUGUACAGGAUAUAACUCAGCACGCAGUGUAAAUUCUGUAAAGGUUAAUGUAUUUAAACAUAUUUGACACAUAAAGCUGCCAGAUCCGACUUUAAUCACUCACCAAGUGUAAUUGCCUUUCCAUGGGUCCCUCUGCACCAGAACAUGUGCUUAAAACACGAGGCUGUGUGGAAAUCUGGGGUGUGAUGGGGACAAAUACUUCUUGGCUGUCAGGGUUUGUGAUUUGCUUUGAUAGAUUUGGCACCGAUUUUAUUGGCUGCACACCCUAAGUGACCAUUAUUUUGCUUUGUUUUG